UCCGAAGGGGGCUAGCGUUGCUCGGAAUCACUGGGCGUAAAGCGCACGUAGGCGGACUCUUAAGUCGGUGGUGAAAUCCUGGAGCUCAACUCCAGAACUGCCUUCGAUACUGGGAGUCUCGAGUUCGGGAGAGGUGAGUGGAACUGCGAGUGUAGAGGUGAAAUUCGUAGAUAUUCGCAAGAACACCAGUGGCGAAGGCGGCUCACUGGCCCGAUACUGACGCUGAGGUGCGAAAGCGUGGGGAGCAAACAGG
rnacentral:rRNA from 1 species